AAAGUCGUAACAAGGUCUCCGUAGGUGAACCUGCGGAGGGAUCAUUAACGAAUGGUCUCCGUACCUUCAAAACCCCCCAACCAUGUGGAAACAAGCUAUAAGUGCUUCGGCGCCCCUCUGUGGGCGUCGCCUUUAUGCCGUAACGUCUUUAUGUCUGAAUGAAAAACAAAAAAGUCAAAACUUUCAACAAAGGAUCUCUUGGCUCUC
rnacentral:misc_RNA from 1 species